rnacentral:rRNA from 1 species
GAACGCGAAGAACCUUACCUGGUCUUGACAUGUACGGAAUCCUCCAGAGACGGAGGAGUGCCUUCGGGAGCCGUAACACAGGUGCUGCAUGGCUGUCGUCAGCUCGUGUCGUGAGAUGUUGGGUUAAGUCCCGCAACGAGCGCAACCCUUGUCAUUAGUUGCCAUCAUUUAGUUGGGCACUCUAGCGAGACUGCCGGUAAUAAACCGGAGGAAGGUGGGGAUGACGUCAAAUCAUCAUGCCCCUUAUGACCUGGGCUACACACGUGCUACAAUGGCUGGUACAACGAGUCGCAAGCCGGUGACGGCAAGCUAAUCUCUUAAAGCCAGUCUCAGUUCGGAUUGUAGGCUGCAACUCGCCUACAUGAAGUCGGAAUCGCUAGUAAUCGCGGAUCAGCACGCCGCGGUGAAUACGUUCCCGGGUCUUGUACACACC